rnacentral:rRNA from 1 species
GACGAACCGUGCGAACGUUGUUCGGAAUCACUGGGCAUAAAGGGCGCGUAGGCGGCUUAUCAAGUCAGGGGUGAAAUCCGGCAGCUCAACUGUCGAAGUGCCUUUGAUACUGAUGAGCUCGAGGGAGGUAGGGGUAUGCGGAACUUCCGGUGGAGCGGUGAAAUGCGUUGAUAUCGGAAGGAACGCCGGUGGCGAAAGCGGCGUACGUGGACCUCUUCUGACGCUGAGGCGCGAAAGCUAGGGGAGCAAACGGG